UACGGAGGAUCCGAGCGUUAUCCGGAUUUAUUGGGUUUAAAGGGUGCGCAGGUUGUUUGAUAAGUCAGUGGUGAAAGUCUGUCGCUUAGCGGUAGGAUUGCCAUUGAUACUGUUGGACUUGAAUAUGGAUGAGGUAGGCGGAAUGUGUAGUGUAGCGGUGAAAUGCAUAGAUAUUACACAGAACACCAAUUGCGUAGGCAGCUUACUGAGCCGACACUGACGCUGAGGCACGAAAGCGUGGGGAUCAAACAGGA
rnacentral:rRNA from 1 species